UGGAAUGUUCUAUGAGAGGCUUUUUUAAACAGUGCGGACGUGGAGUCUCAUGUUCUCGUCGAUGUUUGCUGACUUUGUAAGCUACAUUGCUUUAAAUAUGCCUUGCAAGAGUCAUUGCCUCCACUAUAACUAGCUCACAACGUCCAACUACCGAUUUGCAAUCGUGCAAUGAAGUGCCUACUUCUCUCGUCGAUGGUGGACCCGAGAAGUGCCGGCACUGAAGUGAUGCCUCAUAAAUGCCUCUUCAUGUUCAUAAUCAUGCAGGUGAUCUCCUGCGCUGAAAGUUCAGAUAUCUUUACGUGCCGCCAUCGGGAAUCGAGUUGCACUGCAGUCAGAAGACCGAACUGCCUCCAAAAAAGCAACCAGUUCCACUUCCAAUGUUGGCUCAUAGCAAAGACUGCAGUGCAGCCUUCGAGUCACUGAAUAUCGACCAUCUUCGAGGUUGUUCUUGGCUGACGAGACGAAGUCCAGCGCGAAGAGCUGCAAGUUCCGCAGCCAUCGGUGUAGUUGGGUGGCAUGUCUUCAAAAUGACGGUGGUGGCUUUCGCUGGGAAAACCACGGCUCGAGACGAACACUGCCCUGGCUUAUGCGUCAUGUCGAAGUGUGUGGUUAAGCUAUUGCCUGAAGCCAUAUACCGUCAGCUGCGUUGACCACCAAACCUACUGCGACUGCCACUGUCACGCUGUUCCCGCAGGAGGAAGGCCAAAACAAGGUCGCUUCAGGAAGCGCUGGUGAGGCGGAAUGGCUCUCGUGAUGCCCACAGUGUGUUUGCUAGGUGGACCGGAUCUCACUGCAGAUCUGAGCCUGCAAUAAAUGAAUUUUUACAUGGA